rnacentral:lncRNA from 1 species
GGAAGAGACAGGAGGGAGAGAGGGGAGAAAAACCAUGGCAGGACAAGAUGGCAGGUGAUUAAGAUUCUGCUCUGUGUAUUUACAGGUUGUUAUUAAUGUUCUCAAGGGAUGGAUGGUACCAGGCUUUGUAUGUUUAAGUGGGCAAUUAUAUCUUAUCAUUGGGGUCAAAGACUAUUGUAUUAUGUGUUUUUUUUUUUUUUUUCCAGAGCUGGGGACCGAACCCAGGGCCUUGCGCUUCCUAGGCAAGCGCUCUACCACUGAGUUAAAUCCCCAACCCUAUGUGUUCUUUUAUAUGAGGGUUUGAGUGUAGGAAAGUGUGCAGCUGGAAUGUGUUUCCACCAAGAUAUCUAGCAGAUAUCUUGGGGCACCUCGGUGUGGACCUGGCGGGUAAUAGACAACAAUACCUAUUUUAUUUUUAUAUUAUUACAACAACAUUCCCACCUUUCCCAUCUUUUCCCGGCUAACCCCGGAUUGCAGGAUCCACACAGAGGAGGGAGCCACAGGCUCUCAUCUCAGAUCUGGCUCUGUUGGAUCUGUGCUGUGCCCAUGCCCCUGUCCUUCCCUGGCUCUGGGGAUCCCAGUGUGGCCUCCAGAGAAGAUUCAGGGUUGAUGGGAUGAGUCUACUUUAGAUUUAUGCUUAUUUUAGAAGCUGGUCCAGGGUCUGGAGAUAGCCCAGGGGUUGAGAGCACUUGGUGCUAAUGCAGAUGAUGUCUCGAUCCCAGCAGGCAGAUGGUUGAUCACAGCCAUCCAUAACUCCUGCGCAAGGGCAUCCAAUGCCCUGUGGAGAUCAGGCUCACGCAUGGUACAAAUAAAUACAGAAAAACAAAGUUCAUAGACAAAAUUAAUAAAUCUUUUCAAAACUA